rnacentral:rRNA from 1 species
CACGUAGGCACCAAGCGUUGUCCGGAUUUAUUGGGCGUAAAGAGCUCGUAGGCGGUUCGGUAAGUCGGUGUGAAAACUUUGGGCUCAACCCAAAGCGUGCACUCGAUACUGCCAUGACUAGAGUUCGGUAGGGGAGUGGGGAAUUCCUAGUGUAGCGGUGAAAUGCGCAGAUAUUAGGAGGAACACCGGUGGCGAAGGCGCCACUCUGGGCCGAAACUGACGCUGAGGAGCGAAAGCGUGGGUAGCAAACAGG